UACGAAGGGGGCUAGCGUUGCUCGGAAUCACUGGGCGUAAAGCGCACGUAGGCGGACUCUUAAGUCGGUGGUGAAAUCCUGGAGCUCAACUCCAGAACUGCCUUCGAUACUGGGAGUCUCGAGUCCGGGAGAGGUGAGUGGAACUGCGAGUGUAGAGGUGAAAUUCGUAGAUAUUCGCAAGAACACCAGUGGCGAAGGCGGCUCGACUGG
rnacentral:rRNA from 1 species